AGUGAACGCUGGCGGUAGGCCUAACACAUGCAAGUCGAACGGCAGCACAGUAAGAGCUUGCUCUUACGGGUGGCGAGUGGCGGACGUGUGAGGAAUACAUCGGAAUCUACUUUUUCGUGGGGGAUAACGUAGGGAAACUUACGCUAAUACCGCAUACGCCCUACGGGUGAAAGCAGGGGAUCUUCGGACCUUGCGCGAUUGAAUGAGCCGAUGUCGGAUUAGCUAGUUGGCGGGGUAAAGGCCCACCAAGGCGACGAUCCGUAGCUGGUCUGAGAGGAUGAUCAGCCACACUGGAACUGAGACACGGUCCAGACUCCUACGGGAGGCAGCAGUGGGGAAUAUUGGACAAUGGGCGCAAGCCUGAUCCAGCCAUACCGCGUGGGUGAAGAAGGCCUUCGGGUUGUAAAGCCCUUUUGUUGGGAAAGAAAAGCAGCAGGUUAAUACCCCGCGGGUCUGACGGUACCCAAAGAAUAAGCACCGGCUAACUUCGUG
rnacentral:rRNA from 1 species